rnacentral:lncRNA from 1 species
CUCCACUCGCAGGGACGGACCGUCUUGGCCUACAGUAACAAGCUGCUCCUGCCUAGGGUGACUCCGUCGUUUUGGCCUUGCUGGUGAUUUUUCCAAGAAAGGAGUCAGAGGACGGGAUCCUAGUCUGCACUCUACGCUCGGGUGUGUCUGGUCAUUCUGCGGCCAAGAGCACACGAGAGCUGCGGGCAGACUCCCGCCCCGACACCCGUGGUGCCGAAAGCAGGGUUCUGACGCCAGGAGGAAGAGGAGACCCGGCACCUGUACCGCAGCACCAGGCCACACCGACCCAAGGCCACCUAGGACUGACCUGCCGAGCAGAGGUGCCAGAGCAUCGGCAGUGAGUACCUGGGCCUGUUCAAGCCCCCGCAGGGACAUAGGACACGAGGGCCUGCGGCCAUGUGCCCACCACCUCACUGGGUGUAUCUUACACUGGGACUUCUUUCUGAUCAUGUCCUUGAGCUCUGUC